AUGACUAGUUUCUUGAAGUGAUCAUAUCUUUGUGUUUCAGGAGAUAUUCAUGCAUGUCAUUUAAUAAACAUUUCCCGUCGUAUGAUAAUCCCUAUGGCCUCUUGAAGUGGAAAGCCAUGGGUUUGACCUGCAUCAACUUUUACUAUAUCCUAUGACAUAUCAUAGAUGUGAAAAUUUUCUUUUAGGUCAUAAUUCAUCUAGUCACAGUGGCAACCAUUCAG
rnacentral:misc_RNA from 1 species